GAUGAACGCUAGCGACAGGCUUAACACAUGCAAGUCGAGGGGCAGCGGGGAGGUAGCAAUACCUCCGCCGGCGACCGGCGCACUGGUGAGUAACACGUAUGCAACCUGCCCCCGGCUGGGGAAUAACCCGCGGAAACGCGGACUAAUGCCCCGUAUGCAUGGCCGCCGCAUGACGGCCAUGUGAUAGAACUUCGUCCGGGGAUGGGCAUGCGGCGCAUUAGCUUGUUGGCGGGGCAACGGCCCACCAAGGCUACGAUGCGUAGGGGUUCUGAGAGGAAGGUCCCCCACACUGGUACUGAGACACGGACCAGACUCC
rnacentral:rRNA from 1 species